UUGUAUUCAGUAUGCAACAAACCCCCACCAUAUUUUCCGUGAUCUAGAGACCAUCCACUCCACGCCGGUUUUCCCGGAUCAACCACGAGGGAGAGGGCACGAGCGAAGGCUGGCGACGGUGGCGGCGCUCGCGGGCCGCCGCGCCAUGGAGAUCCACCGCUGCCCUCUGCGCCUCGCCAUGGAGGAGUUGCCGCCACCCCCGCCACCUUGUUGCGAUGGCGGGAGGAAGGACCACGGUCCACGGUGAGGGCCUCGGCCGCGCGUUGGUCUGGCAGCGGAACAAGGCCACGGCAGCCGCUUGAGUCUGUCAUCGAGGUCAGCCACAUCGACGCCGUGCUCCAGCGUGCUGCCGAGGAAGACCUCCUCCUCGGUGGUGGCGACGGUGCAGACGACGACGUCCUCUCCGCCGCGCUCUGGUUCCAGGCUCAUCGAUAUGUAACCUCUCAAAACGAACCACAUCCGCUUUUGGCGUCCAGGAUCUAGCCAUUGAAGGGCGGCUGGUGGCGGGGGCCUUGAUGGCUGAGGCUGAUGGUGCUGGUGGUCGGCAGCUCAUGGGUGCCUCAACAGCGGCUACAGCAUGCUUGCGUGAUCCGCAGCAGUUGUGGGCCAAAUGGAUCCAUAAAUGGUGGUGCUGUUCGAUCUUAGCGUAUAUUUUUUAUUAUUUUCAUGCAGCUGAGAUGACCAGGCAAGUUUAUUUAAAUUUUAAUAUAAUGAUCAAUGUAGCCACCAUGUUUGUUGCUACUGGGACAAACUUCUUCAGACUGAAUGUUUUGUUUUGAAUUUUACCUGUGGCUGCUAGCGUCAUCAGGUGCAGUGUGGGAUGGUGUGAUUGAGGCAUGGAACGAUGGCAUGUUGAUGAGCCAAUCGUGCUUCUCCAAUUGACAGCUUCGAGGGGCACAUCAAGAAGAUGAUUAUCCGUGAAUUCAUAUUGCGAAGAAGUGUGUUUCGUCAAGUUCAUUGGCGACCACUGGCAGGUGCUGGAGAAGAUUUUUGUUGUGCUAAUUUAUGUCUGCUUAUCUUCUACCAAUAUGAGCACUUUUCAUGGCUUGUGCAAAUUUGGUCAAUGAAGAUGGUAUAACAUGGUGCUUCCAUGGGACGACUAAAUGGGGAAGGCAGUCGACACCAGCGUGGUGGUGGUGUUUAGCUAGUUGUGUUGUCAUUGGCUGUAUUUUUCCUUUUCUUACAUCAAUAUGAAUAUGAAUAUGUUAAGAACCAUCGAUGUAAUGUAAUAGUAGUUUAGUUACUAAGAGAUAGUAUGUUUGAGAACCAUUGGUGUAAUUUAGUUACUAAGAGACAAAAUAUUAAGAACCAUCAGUGUAA